rnacentral:rRNA from 1 species
AUUGAACGCUGGCGGCAUGCCUUACACAUGCAAGUCGAACGGCAGCACGGGAGCUUGCUCCUGGUGGCGAGUGGCGAACGGGUGAGUAAUAUAUCGGAACGUACCCUAGAGUGGGGGAUAACGCAGCGAAAGUUGCGCUAAUACCGCAUACGAUCUACGGAUGAAAGUGGGGGAUCGCAAGACCUCAUGCUCAUGGAGCGGCCGAUAUCUGAUUAGCUAGUUGGUGGGGUAAAGGCCUACCAAGGCAUCGAUCAGUAGCUGGUCUGAGAGGACGACCAGCCACACUGGAACUGAGACACGGUCCAGACUCCUACGGGAGGCAGCAGUGGGGAAUUUUGGACAAUGGGGGGCAACCCUGAUCCAGCAAUGCCGCGUGAGUAAAGAAGGACCU